GCCAGCUGUGGAAACCAGCCUCAUGCAGGUCGAUGGUACUGGUAUCACUGGUUUUCGGGAACUCGCGAGGCACCCUGCCCAGUCGCGCGCGCAGAUAAUAUUGCGGCCGAUCAUGAACACGUAAGCUGUCGCAAUACUUGCGGGGAAUCAUGACUCCCAAAUCGUGCACAGGAUUAUCUCACAUAGCGAGUGAUUGUCAGCAGACGUCGUGUUUCAUAUAUUUCAGGUUCUUACUAACUCUUAGGGUUCUAAACCAUUUAAUCUCCAACGUGGAACCAGAUAAGGAUGUCCUUUGAGUCCUUUGCUUUUUGAUUUGGCUUUAGAGCCUUCAGACAUCGCGUUUCGUGAAUCCGUUGACAUCUCAGCCAGAAGAGCUUUGUUGCUUAGAUGGAAAGAUGCCACUCCACCUGCUCAUGCCCAUUGGUUGAUGUUAUGUCGCGUUUAAAUCUAGAGAAGAUUAGGUGCUCUAUUUCUAUACCUGGACAAGAUUUUUUCACAUUAUGGGGACCUUCUUUGGAACUACUUUCAGAACUUUCGAUUUGUUCAGCAAUGAUGAUGACUAUUAUGUGUUUGAAUUUACAACUAUAUGUCAGAGAUUUUUUUUCUUUUCUUUUAACCAAACAGCUGUUUUUUUCUCCUUUUUUCUGUUUUGUUAUGGGGUUUUGAUUUUGCUUUAGAUUAGAAUAAAAUAUACCUUUUCAAUAUUAUGAUUAAUUUACUAUACAUAGUUACGGGGCAUUUCAAUCUUGUUUCUGUUUCCAUAAUAUCAUAAUGUA